rnacentral:rRNA from 1 species
UACGUAGGGGGCAAGCGUUGUCCGGAAUCAUUGGGCGUAAAGCGCGCGUAGGCGGCCCGGUAAGUCCGCUGUAAAAGUCCAGGGCUCAACCCUGGAAAGCCGGUGGAUACUGUCGGGCUAGAGUCCGGAAGAGGCGAGUGGAAUUCCUGGUGUAGCGGUGGAAUGCGCAGAUAUCGCUUGGAACGCCGAAGGUGAAAACAGGCUGCUGGGGUUGCGCCGACGCUGAGACACGAAAGCCAGGGGAGCAAACGGG